rnacentral:rRNA from 1 species
UACGAAGGUCCCAAGCGUUAUCCGGAUUUAUUGGGUUUAAAGGGUGCGUAGGCGGGUUAUUAAGUCAGUGGUGAAAGCUCCAUGCCUAACAUGGAAAUUGCCAUUGAUACUGAUGAUCUUGAGUACAUUUGAAGUGGGCGGAAUGUGUCAUGUAGCGGUGAAAAUGCUUAGAUAUGACACAGAACACCGAUUGCGUAGGCAGCUCACUAAACUGUAACUGACGCUGAGGCACGAAAGCGUGGGGAGCAAACAGG